rnacentral:miRNA from 1 species
CCUGGCCAGCAAGCCACUGCCCAUCGCACCCUGCCUGGAGGCCGCCCAGCAGCUGACGAGGUGACCCGUGCGGUGGGCAGCCCAAGCC